GACGAACGCUGGCGGCGUGCCUAAUACAUGCAAGUCGAACGCAGUGGGGACGGGUGAGUAACACGUGGGUAACCUCCCAUCAGUGGGGAUAACACUUGGAAACAGGUGCUAAACCGAUACUGAUGGAUGGACCCGGGGUUCAUUAGCUAGUUGGUGAGGUAACGGCUCACCAAGGCCACGAUGCAUAGCCGACCGGAGAGGGGGAUCGGCCACACUGGGACUGAGACACGGCCCAGACUCCUACGGGAGGCAGCGGUAGGGAAUCUUCGGCAAGGGACGAAAGUCUGAACCAGCAACGCCGGGUGAAGGAAGACGGUCUUCGGAUGGUAAACUUCUUUAGACAGGGACGCGGUACCUGUAGAAUAAGCCACGGCUAACUACGUGCCAGCAGCCGCGGUAAUUC
rnacentral:rRNA from 1 species